CUUUUGGUAUCAACUGUUCUGGAAGAUGCGUUGACGGGUUCUUUGGGUUUGGAUGUCUUGGUCGCUGUAAUUGCAGUGAGGACCAAAUCUGUGACAGUCGUGACGGGUGUAUGGAGGACAAGAUAAGACAAUAUGAAGAAAAUUUAUACCAUCUCGACAUUACCAGCAUGAACUUGUUCACACCGACACGCCGGAAGAUUACACAUCUAAUAAACAUCAAAGUUACCUAGAAUGCGUCUCUGGCUCUGGACGAAUGUUAGAGAACAUUUCACUUGAAAAUCAGUCUGAAGAGUUACAAAGUAGUGAGUUAAGAUCUACGCAUUAUGAGUACACAAAUCGAAGACUUUUUUCAAGUGAGGACAAAACCUUAUCUCAAAGAGAGAGCAUGCAAGAAAUUCGUCCCGAAAAUAAUAUUGAAUCUCCUUCAGGAGUAGACGUAUGGAAGUCAAUCAAAGACAAUAUUAAAAAGAAUAGAGAGAGGAACAGUAUUCUACGAAUAUUAUCGUCAAGAAUUUCUCUGCAUGAUACAAACCACAGUAGUAGUUAUAUUUCUGUUGUUGACGAAAAUUCCACAUCUUGCAAUGCUGAAAAAAGUUGAAAAAGGUUAUGUAUUUAUGAUGCAACCUCCACGACUGUGUUGCUCUUUGUAUUUCUGAUGCAAUGUCCACGACCAUGCUGCUCUUUUACAGAAUGUUAAAUCAUAGUUUGAUUGUAGUUUAAUCAAUAUUAGUACCAUAAUUAUUUUUAAUUAAAGACAUGCAUUGUAGAUUUGUCAAUGUAUGUGAUGCUACAACAAUAUUUCAAGGUUAAAUCAGAGAUAAAUGAAAUCAUUUAUUUGUGGUAUGAGUAAGACAAAAUCCAUUUCGUUUUAUUGUUACAACAAGUAUAAUGAAUUUGGAAAUGGAAGGAUUUUAUUCUAAUAUACCUAUUAUAUAAUAAAUCAAUUAUAUGUUACAUACAAAAAAAUUACACAUAUAAGAUAAACCCAAUCAUUUUAAGUAGAUUUUAUGUUAUUAGAUAAGUACAUUCAAAAUUAAAAGUAUUAUACAAUC
rnacentral:misc_RNA from 1 species